CGGAGUGUGGCGCAGGGGUAGCGCGCACCGUUCGGGACGGUGAGGUCGACGGUUCAAAUCCGUCCACUCCGACCA
rnacentral:tRNA from 1 species